AUCCAGCUAACAAGUCCCAAAUAGGACGAAACGCGCUUUAUCCUGCAU
rnacentral:hammerhead_ribozyme from 1 species